rnacentral:rRNA from 1 species
GACGAACGCUGGCGGCGUGCUUAACACAUGCAAGUCGAACGGAAAGGCCCUGCUUUUGUGGGGUGCUCGAGUGGCGAACGGGUGAGUAACACGUGAGUAACCUGCCCUUGACUUUGGGAGAACUUCAGGAAACUGGGGUUAAUAUCGUAUAGGAGCUCCUGUUGCAUGGUGGGGGUUGGAAAGUUUCGGCGGUUGUGGUUGGAUUCGCGGCUUAUCAGCUUGUUGGUUGGGUAGUGGCUUACCAAGGCUGUGACGGGUAGCCGGCAUGAGAGGGUGACCGGCCACAUUGGGCCUACGGUACGGACCAGAGGCCUACGGGAGGCAGCAGUGGGGAGUAUUGCACAAUGGGCGGAAGCCUGAUGCAGCAACGCCGGGUGCGGGAUGACGGCUUUCGGGUUAUAAACCGCUUUAGCCUGUGACGAAGCGUGAGUGACGGUAAUCGGUAAAGAAGCACCGGCUAACUACGUG